AUGUUUCAAACCUUAUUUGUUAUAUAAUGAUGGCUAUUAUUGUUUAUAGAUGAAAAUAACGCCUACUACAGUGUCACAAACUACUACAAUCCAUAACAGAGAUCUACAGGAACUUAAAAUGGUUUUUAAAAAACUACUUUUAUAUUUAACACAUAAGUAUAUUUUAUCAUAUAAGUUCCUUUGAUUUCAACAAUAUCAUUUACAAAUGAAUAAUUAUGGAAUUGAAAAAAAAAUUACUUUAUAAUUACAAUAUAAUGAAGGCUAUCUUUGUUUAUAGAACGGAGAAAUGCCUACUACAGUGUCACAGUUUACAACAAUUGAUAACAGUGAUCGAGUGGCACUCAACAUGAUGGAAAUAACGCCUACUGGUAAUUCUGUUGUCACAGACUAGUACAAUCCAUAACAGAUCUACAGGAACUUAACAUGAAUGAAGAAAUGCCUACUCCAUUGUCACAGUUUACAACAAUUGAUAAGUGAUCGAGAGGCACUCAACAUGUGUCAUAACUAUGCUGUUUCCUGUCCUGUUAAAAAGAAGGAAAAUCUGAAAGUCUUAAAGUUAAAGAAGAAAUUGUACAAUUCAAAGAGACUUCAGAUCUAUUAUAAAAAGAAAGUUCAAUGUUUACAAGAGGAGCUAAAAAAAAAAAAAGCCAACUUUUAAAUUACAAUCUCGCCCCA